UACGGGGGGGGCAAGCGUUGUUCGGAAUCACUGGGCUUAAAGGGCGCGUAGGCGGGCCGCCGCGUCCGGGGUGAAAUCCCCCCGCUCAACGGGGGAACGGCCUCGGAUACGGGCGGCCUGGAGGCGGGUAGGGGCACGCGGAACUGUGGGUGGAGCGGUGAAAUGCGUUGAGAUCCACAGGAACUCCGGUGGCGAAGGCGGCGUGCUGGACCCGAUCUGACGCUGAGGCGCGAAAGCCAGGGGAGCGAACGGG
rnacentral:rRNA from 1 species